CAGGGUGUGGUGCCAAAUAGUCGGCGACUCCCCUCGGAAGGGAGAUCAUACAGGUGCAAGUCCUGUCACCCUGACCA
rnacentral:tRNA from 1 species